GGGUUGUGAGGUUAAGCGACUAAGCGUACACGGUGGAUGCCCUGGCAGUCAGAGGCGAUGAAGGGCGUGCUAAUCUGCGAUAAGCGCCGGUAAGGUGAUAUGAACCGUUAUAACCGGCGAUACCCGAAUGGGGAAACCCAGUGUGAUUCGUCACACUAUCAUUAACUGAAUCCAUAGGUUAAUGAGGCGAACCGGGGGAACUGAAACAUCUAAGUACCCCGAGGAAAAGAAAUCAACCGAGAUUCCCCCAGUAGCGGCGAGCGAACGGGGAGGAGCCCAGAGCCUGAAUCAGCAUGUGUGUUAGUGGAAGCGUCUGGAAAGGCGCGCGAUACAGGGUGACAGCCCCGUACACAAAAGCGCAUGUGCUGUGAGCUCGAUGAGUAGGGCGGGACACGUGGUAUCCUGUCUGAAUAUGGGGGGACCAUCCUCCAAGGCUAAAUACUCCUGACUGACCGAUAGUGAACCAGUACCGUGAGGGAAAGGCGAAAAGAACCCCGGCGAGGGGAGUGAAAAAGAACCUGAAACCGUGUACGUACAAGCAGUGGGAGCACAGGUUUACCUGUGUGACUGCGUACCUUUUGUAUAAUGGGUCAGCGACUUAUAUUCUGUAGCAAGGUUAACCGUAUAGGGGAGCCGGAGGGAAACCGAGUCUUAACCGGGCGUUAAGUUGCAGGGUAUAGACCCGAAACCCGGUGAUCUAGCCAUGGGCAGGUUGAAGGUUGGGUAACACUAACUGGAGGACCGAACCGACUAAUGUUGAAAAAUUAGCGGAUGACCUGUGGCUGGGGGUGAAAGGCCAAUCAAACCGGGAGAUAGCUGGUUCUCCCCGAAAGCUAUUUAGGUAGCGCCUCGUGAAUUCAUCUCCGGGGGUAGAGCACUGUUUCGGCUAGGGGGCCAUCCCGGCUUACCAACCCGAUGCAAACUGCGAAUACCGGAGAAUGUUAUCACGGGAGACACACGGCGGGUGCUAACGUCCGUCGUGAAGAGGGAAACAACCCAGACCGCCAGCUAAGGUCCCAAAGUCAUGGUUAAGUGGGAAACGAUGUGGGAAGGCCCAGACAGCCAGGAUGUUGGCUUAGAAGCAGCCAUCAUUUAAAGAAAGCGUAAUAGCUCACUGGUCGAGUCGGCCUGCGCGGAAGAUGUAACGGGGCUAAACCAUGCACCGAAGCUGCGGCAGCGAACGUAUCACCCAAGACAACUUUACGGAGUUGACGAUUGACGGAGCGAAGCGACGUCAAAGCGUUCAUUAAAGUCGAGUUGGCUUAGGGAUACGUUCGUUGGGUAGGGGAGCGUUCUGUAAGCCUGUGAAGGUGUGUCGUGAGGCAUGCUGGAGGUAUCAGAAGUGCGAAUGCUGACAUAAGUAACGAUAAAGCGGGUGAAAAGCCCGCUCGCCGGAAGACCAAGGGUUCCUGUCCAACGUUAAUCGGGGCAGGGUGAGUCGACCCCUAAGGCGAGGCCGAAAGGCGUAGUCGAUGGGAAACGGGUUAAUAUUCCCGUACUUGGUGUUACUGCGAAGGGGGGACGGAGAAGGCUAUGUUGGCCGGGCGACGGUUGUCCCGGUUUAAGCGUGUAGGUGUGUGUUCCAGGUAAAUCCGGUUCACUUUAACACUGAGGCGUGACGACGAGGCACUACGGUGCUGAAGCAACAAAUGCCCUGCUUCCAGGAAAAGCCUCUAAGCAUCAGGUAACAUCAAAUCGUACCCCAAACCGACACAGGUGGUCAGGUAGAGAAUACCAAGGCGCUUGAGAGAACUCGGGUGAAGGAACUAGGCAAAAUGGUGCCGUAACUUCGGGAGAAGGCACGCUGACACGUAGGUGAAGUGAUUUACUCAUGGAGCUGAAGUCAGUCGAAGAUACCAGCUGGCUGCAACUGUUUAUUAAAAACACAGCACUGUGCAAACACGAAAGUGGACGUAUACGGUGUGACGCCUGCCCGGUGCCGGAAGGUUAAUUGAUGGGGUCAGCGCAAGCGAAGCUCCUGAUCGAAGCCCCGGUAAACGGCGGCCGUAACUAUAACGGUCCUAAGGUAGCGAAAUUCCUUGUCGGGUAAGUUCCGACCUGCACGAAUGGCGUAAUGAUGGCCAGGCUGUCUCCACCCGAGACUCAGUGAAAUUGAACUCGCUGUGAAGAUGCAGUGUACCCGCGGCAAGACGGAAAGACCCCGUGAACCUUUACUAUAGCUUGACACUGAACAUUGAGCCUUGAUGUGUAGGAUAGGUGGGAGGCUUUGAAGUGUGGACGCCAGUCUGCAUGGAGCCGACCUUGAAAUACCACCCUUUAAUGUUUGAUGUUCUAACGUGGACCCGUAAUCCGGGUUGCGGACAGUGUCUGGUGGGUAGUUUGACUGGGGCGGUCUCCUCCUAAAGAGUAACGGAGGAGCACGAAGGUUGGCUAAUCCUGGUCGGACAUCAGGAGGUUAGUGCAAUGGCAUAAGCCAGCUUGACUGCGAGCGUGACGGCGCGAGCAGGUGCGAAAGCAGGUCAUAGUGAUCCGGUGGUUCUGAAUGGAAGGGCCAUCGCUCAACGGAUAAAAGGUACUCCGGGGAUAACAGGCUGAUACCGCCCAAGAGUUCAUAUCGACGGCGGUGUUUGGCACCUCGAUGUCGGCUCAUCACAUCCUGGGGCUGAAGUAGGUCCCAAGGGUAUGGCUGUUCGCCAUUUAAAGUGGUACGCGAGCUGGGUUUAGAACGUCGUGAGACAGUUCGGUCCCUAUCUGCCGUGGGCGCUGGAGAACUGAGGGGGGCUGCUCCUAGUACGAGAGGACCGGAGUGGACGCAUCACUGGUGUUCGGGUUGUCAUGCCAAUGGCACUGCCCGGUAGCUAAAUGCGGAAGAGAUAAGUGCUGAAAGCAUCUAAGCACGAAACUUGCCCCGAGAUGAGUUCUCCCUGAGACUUAGAGUCUCCUGAAGGAACGUUGAAGACGACGACGUUGAUAGGCCGGGUGUGUAAGCGCAGCGAUGCGUUGAGCUAACCGGUACUAAUGAACCGUGAGGCUUAACCUUACAACGCCGAAG
rnacentral:rRNA from 1 species